rnacentral:rRNA from 1 species
AGAGUUUGAUCAUGGCUCAGAUUGAACGCUGGCGGCAGGCCUAACACAUGCAAGUCGAACGGUAACAGAAAGCAGCUUGCUGCUUUGCUGACGAGUGGCGGACGGGUGAGUAAUGUCUGGGAAACUGCCUGAUGGAGGGGGAUAACUACUGGAAACGGUAGCUAAUACCGCAUAACGUCGCAAGACCAAAGAGGGGGACCUUAGGGCCUCUUGCCAUCGGAUGUGCCCAGAUGGGAUUAGCUAGUAGGUGGGGUAACGGCUCACCUAGGCGACGAUCCCUAGCUGGUCUGAGAGGAUGACCAGCCACACUGGAACUGAGACACGGUCCAGACUCCUACGGGAGGCAGCAGUGGGGAAUAUUGCACAAUGGGCGCAAGCCUGAUGCAGCCAUGCCGCGUGUAUGAAGAAGGCCUUCGGGUUGUAAAGUACUUUCAGCGGGGAGGAAGGGAGUAAAGUUAAUACCUUUGCUCAUUGACGUUACCCGCAGAAGAAGCACCGGCUAACUCCGUGCCAGCAGCCGCGGUAAUACGGAGGGUGCAAGCGUUAAUCGGAAUUACUGGGCGUAAAGCGCACGCAGGCGGUUUGUUAAGUCAGAUGUGAAAUCCCCGGGCUCAACCUGGGAACUGCAUCUGAUACUGGCAAGCUUGAGUCUCGUAGAGGGGGGUAGAAUUCCAGGUGUAGCGGUGAAAUGCGUAGAGAUCUGGAGGAAUACCGGUGGCGAAGGCGGCCCCCUGGACGAAGACUGACGCUCAGGUGCGAAAGCGUGGGGAGCAAACAGGAUUAGAUACCCUGGUAGUCCACGCCGUAAACGAUGUCGACUUGGAGGUUGUGCCCUUGAGGCGUGGCUUCCGGAGCUAACGCGUUAAGUCGACCGCCUGGGGAGUACGGCCGCAAGGUUAAAACUCAAAUGAAUUGACGGGGGCCCGCACAAGCGGUGGAGCAUGUGGUUUAAUUCGAUGCAACGCGAAGAACCUUACCUGGUCUUGACAUCCACGGAAGUUUUCAGAGAUGAGAAUGUGCCUUCGGGAACCGUGAGACAGGUGCUGCAUGGCUGUCGUCAGCUCGUGUUGUGAAAUGUUGGGUUAAGUCCCGCAACGAGCGCAACCCUUAUCCUUUGUUGCCAGCG